AUGCUGCCGAUGGUGCCCAUUGUGUUCCUUGGAACGACCAUCUUCGGUGAGCUCUUGAGGAUGUCCCAGGAGGAGUUCGGCUUCGCAGGAGUUGACAGUGACAGAAUCACACUUCCCUGCGAUGCAUCGGUGAUGGAGUAUGCCAUCUGCUUGCUCAGGAGAAGCGCCUCCGCAGACAUAGAGGCCGCGUUCCUCAACACCAUGGCGAUGCCAUGCCACUAUCAUGUGGCCCAACAUUUGGGAGUUGGCCAACAUUUCGGUGUCUGCUGCUCCUGA
rnacentral:rRNA from 1 species